rnacentral:rRNA from 1 species
GGCGAGUGAAGCGGGACCAGCUCAAAUUUGGAAUCAAUAUCUCAUAGAGAGAUUGAAUUGUAGUUUAGAGAAGCGAGUAAUUCCGGUAAAUGGCAAGCGGCCCAAGUCCCAUUGAAGAGGGCAUCAAAGAGGGUGUUAAUCCCGUCCAGAGCCGCUUAAAAAAGCCAAUAACCAAAUGCGAUGCGCUUUCCAAGAGUCGGUUUGUUUGGGAAUGCAGACCAAAAAGGGUGGUAAACACCAUCUAAAGCUAAAUAUAGGCGAGAGACCGAUAGCGAACAAGUACCGUGAGGGAAAGAUGAAAAGCACCUUGGAAAGAGAGUUAAACAGUACGUGAAAUUGUUAAAAGGGAAACGAUUGAAGUCAGUCGUGUUUAUUGGAUUCAGCCGGUCUUCGGUGUACUUCCUUUAAACGGGUCAACAUCAGUUUUGUUCGGUGGAUAAAGGUAUUAGGAAUGCGGCUUCUUCGGAAGUGUUAUAGCCCAGUAUUGCAUACACUGGAGGAGACUGAGGACUGCAGCUCGCCUUUAUGGCCGGGGUUCGCCCACGUCCGAGCU